GAUCCUGGCUCAGGAUGAACGCUAGCGACAGGCUUAACACAUGCAAGUCGAGGGGCAGCAUGAACUUAGCUUGCUAAGUUUGAUGGCGACCGGCGCACGGGUGAGUAACGCGUAUGCAACUUACCUAUCAGAGGAGAAUAGCUCAUCGAAAGAUGAAUUAAUGCUCCAUAAAACAGGGGCCCCGCAUGGGGAUAUUUGUUAAAGAUUCAUCGCUGAUAGAUAGG
rnacentral:rRNA from 1 species